AUUGUGUUGGUCUAGUGACUCCUACUUGUUUGAGCUAGUAAGAUAAAUAGGACCGGGUAGAGCUACCCUUAAACAUUAAAAACCCUCAACAUGCAGGAAAAAAAAUAAAGUCAGUAGGAUUACUAAGGUUAACCUUAGGGAAAUGAGCCAAAAAACUGGUUUGUGACUCUUAAGUGUGGAAAGGAGAGGAAGAAGUUGAUGUUUUUUUGUGUGUGGGUUUUUUUUUUAAGAUUUUAUUUAUUUGACAGAGAGACACGGCGAGAGAGGGAACACAAGCAGGGGGAGUGGGAGAGGGAGAAGCAGGCUUCCCGCUAAGCAGGGAGCCCAGUGCAGGGCUCGAUCCCAGGACUCCGGGAUCAUGACCUGAGCUGAAGGCAGAUGCUUAAUGACUGAGCCACCCCGGCGCCCCGAAGUUGAUGUUUUUUAAGCAUGUUUAUACCUUGAUUAUAAAAAGAGUUUCAAGUAUUUUUUAGGAAAACAAUAAAAAACAAAAAUUAACCUACUUUCUUACCUUCCAUAGUAAUCUCAGGUGUUUGUGAGCUGGGGUUGAGGGUGGAUGCAUCAAGCACAGGGUCUGCAUUUAUUUGCAUUACUCUGUAAGAAUAGCUCCAUCCCUCCAACACAAGAGCCUUAGUGGGACAGAAGCUGGGUUGAAGCUGUAAACAAUGGAAACUCUUGGU